rnacentral:rRNA from 1 species
GUUAUAGGGUCAAGCGAACAAGUGCAUGUGGUGGAUGCCUUGGCGAUCACAGGCGAUGAAGGACGCGGUAGCCUGCGAAAAGCCCCGGGGAGCUGGCAAACAAGCUUUGAUCCGGGGAUGUCCGAAUGGGGAAACCCACUCCGUAUGGAGUAUCCAUGACUGAAUACAUAGGUCAUGUGAAGCGAACGCGGUGAACUGAAACAUCUAAGUAACCGCAGGAAAAGAAAUCAACCGAGAUUCCCAAAGUAGUGGCGAGCGAAAUGGGAUGAGCCUUGUACUCUUUAUUUGUAUUGUUAGCCGAACGCUCUGGAAAGUGCGGCCAUAGCAGGUGAUAGCCCUGUAGGCGAAAACAGUAUGAAAGAACUAGGUGUACGACAAGUAGGGCGGGACACGUGAAAUCCU